AAGAUAGUGUGAGGGGGACUUCUCAAACAAGUGAAUGUAUUUGGACUCAUGUGUCCAAAAAAUACUAUGAGUUCUACGAAGGCAUCACUUAACCGAAUACCCGAAACCACGAGAGUUGUUUUUCAAGAUGGAAGAAACAUUUUCAUCAAAGUUUGAAUAAAUGGCAUCGAACACUGAUAGCAGCCGCAAGUAGACAUGAAAGCGGCGCCAAUUACUACGAUGAAGUACGCCAAGCGGAGGAAUUGUAUAUGGAUGGCAGCUCGAAACCCUUUCAAUUUCCCGGUUGUUGAGAAAUUAUAAAGGAUGAGUGUUAUUUGAAGAUCCAC